rnacentral:rRNA from 1 species
UACGUAGGGGGCAAGCGUUGUCCGGAAUCAUUGGGCGUAAAGCGCGUGUAGGCGGUUCGGUAAGUCUGCUGUGAAAGUCCAGGGCUCAACCCUGGGAUGCCGGUGGAUACUGUCGGACUAGAGUACAGAAGGGGCAACUGGAAUUCUCGGUGUAGCGGUGAAAUGCGUAGAUAUCGAGAGGAACACCUGCGGCGAAGGCGGGUUGCUGGGCUGAUACUGACGCUGAGGCGCGAAAGCCAGGGGAGCGAACGGG